CCUACGGGAGGCAGCAGUGAGGAAUAUUGGUCAAUGGACGCAAGUCUGAACCAGCCAUGCCGCGUGCAGGAAGACGGCUCUAUGAGUUGUAAACUGCUUUUGUACGAGGGUAAACGCAGAUACGCGUAUCUGUCUGAAAGUAUCGUACGAAUAAGGAUCGGCUAACUCCGUGCCAGCAGCCGCGGUAAUACGGAGGAUUCAAGCGUUAUCCGGAUUUAUUGGGUUUAAAGGGUGCGUAGGCGGUCGGCUAAGUUAGAGGGGAAAUCCCGUGGCUCAACUUCGGAAUUGCCUCUGAUACUGUUCGGCUAGAGCGUAGUUGCGGUAGGCGGAAUGUAUGGUGUAGCGGUGACAUGCUUCGAGAUCAUACAGAACACCGAUUGCGAAGGCAGCUUACCAAGCUACUUCUGACGUUGAGGCACGAAAGCGUGGGGAGCAAACAGGAUUAGAUACCCUAGUAGUC
rnacentral:rRNA from 1 species